rnacentral:rRNA from 1 species
AGCCUGCGAAGGUGGCCUGUGAGGGUUGCUGGAGGUAUCAGAAGUGCGAAUGCUGACAUAAGUAACGAUAAAGCGGGUGAAAAGCCCGCUCGCCGGAAGACCAAGGGUUCCUGUCCAACGUUAAUCGGGGCAGGGUGAGUCGACCCCUAAGGCGAGGCCGAAAGGCGUAGUCGAUGGGAAACGGGUUAAUAUUCCCGUACUUGGUGUUACUGCGAAGGGGGGACGGAGAAGGCUAUGUUGGCCGGGCGACGGUUGUCCCGGUUUAAGCGUGUAGGUGUGUGUUCCAGGUAAAUCCGGUUCACUUUAACACUGAGGCGUGAUGACGAGGCACUACGGUGCUGAAGCAACAAAUGCCCUGCUUCCAGGAAAAGCCUCUAAGCAUCAGGUAACAUCAAAUCGUACCCCAAACCGACACAGGUGGUCAGGUAGAGAAUACCAAGGCGCUUGAGAGAACUCGGGUGAAGGAACUAGGCAAAAUGGUGCCGUAACUUCGGGAGAAGGCACGCUGACACGUAGGUGAAGUGAUUUACUCAUGGAGCUGAAGUCAGUCGAAGAUACCAGCUGGCUGCAACUGUUUAUUAAAAACACAGCACUGUGCAAACACGAAAGUGGACGUAUACGGUGUGACGCCUGCCCGGUGCCGGAAGGUUAAUUGAUGGGGUCAGCGCAAGCGAAGCUCCUGAUCGAAGCCCCGGUAAACGGCGGCCGUAACUAUAACGGUCCUAAGGUAGCGAAAUUCCUUGUCGGGUAAGUUCCGACCUGCACGAAUGGCGUAAUGAUGGCCAGGCUGUCUCCACCCGAGACUCAGUGAAAUUGAACUCGCUGUGAAGAUGCAGUGUACCCGCGGCAAGACGGAAAGACCCCGUGAACCUUUACUAUAGCUUGACACUGAACAUUGAGCCUUGAUGUGUAGGAUAGGUGGGAGGCUUUGAAGUGUGGACGCCAGUCUGCAUGGAGCCGGCCUUGAAAUACCACCCUUUAAUGUUUGAUGUUCUAACGUGGACCCGUGAUCCGGGUUGCGGACAGUGUCUGGUGGGUAGUUUGACUGGGGCGGUCUCCUCCUAAAGAGUAACGGAGGAGCACGAAGGUUGGCUAAUCCUGGUCGGACAUCAGGAGGUUAGUGCAAUGGCAUAAGCCAGCUUGACUGCGAGCGUGACGGCGCGAGCAGGUGCGAAAGCAGGUCAUAGUGAUCCGGUGGUUCUGAAUGGAAGGGCCAUCGCUCAACGGAUAAAAGGUACUCCGGGGAUAACAGGCUGAUACCGCCCAAGAGUUCAUAUCGACGGCGGUGUUUGGCACCUCGAUGUCGGCUCAUCACAUCCUGGGGCUGAAGUAGGUCCCAAGGGUAUGGCUGUUCGCCAUUUAAAGUGGUACGCGAGCUGGGUUUAGAACGUCGUGAGACAGUUCGGUCCCUAUCUGCCGUGGGCGCUGGAGAACUGAGGGGGGCUGCUCCUAGUACGAGAGGACCGGAGUGGACGCAUCACUGGUGUUCGGGUUGUCAUGCCAAUGGCACUGCCCGGUAGCUAAAUGCGGAAGAGAUAAGUGCUGAAAGCAUCUAAGCACGAAACUUGCCCCGAGAUGAGUUCUCCCUGAGACUUUAGGUCUCCUGAAGGAACGUUGAAGACGACGACGUUGAUAGGCCGGGUGUGUAAGCGCAGCGAUGCGUUGAGCUAACCGGUACUAAUGAACCGUGAGGCUUAACCUUACA